rnacentral:rRNA from 1 species
GACAGAGGAUGCAAGCGUUAUCCGGAAUGAUUGGGCGUAAAGCGUCUGUAGGUGGCUUUUUAAGUCUGCCGUCAAAUCCCAGGGCUUAACCCUGGACAGGCGGUGGAAACUACCAAGCUGGAGUACGGUAGAGGCGAGUGGAAUUCCCGGUGUAGCGGUGAAAUGCGCAGAUAUCGGGAGGAACACCAGUAGCGAAGGCGGCUCGCUGGGCCAUUCCUGACGCUGAGACGCGAAAGCUAGGGGAGCGAACAGG